UUCCGGUUGAUCCUGCCGGACCCUACUGCUAUCGGGAUGAGACUAAAACAUGCUAGUUGUGCGCACCCAAGCUAUGUUGGGAGCGCAGCGAACGGCUCCGUAACACGUAGUCAAUCUAACCUUAGGAUAGGAAUAACCCCGGGAAACUGGGGCUAAUACCUGAUAGGCGAAAAAGUCUGGAAUGACUUUUCACUCAAAGAGUUUUGGGAACAUGCUCCCUUUACUGCCUAAGGAUGAGACUGCGGCCGAUCAGGUUGUUGGUGGGGUAACGGCCUACCAAGCCUAUAACCGGUACGGGCCCUGAGAGGGGGAGCCCGGAGAUGGGAACUGAGACAAGGUCCCAGACCCUACGGGGUGCAGCAGUUGCGAAAACUCUACAAUGCACGAAAGUGUGAUAGGGUUAUCCCGAGUGCCGUCCGAUGAGGAUGGCUUUUACUUGGUGUAAGGAGCCAGGGGAAUAAAGGGGGGGCAAGACUGGUGUCAGCCGCCGCGGUAAUACCAGCCCCCUGAGUGGUAGGGAUGAUUAUUUGGCCUAAAGCGUCCGUAGCCGGCUCAGCAAGUCUUUCGUUAAAUCCGGUGACUUAAUCAUCGGUCUGCGAGAGAUACUACUAGGCUUGAGGACGGGAGAGGUCGACGGUAUUCCGGGGGUAGGGGUAAAAUCCUAUAAUCCUCGGAGGACCACCAGUGGCGAAGGCGGUCGACUAGAACGUGCCUGACGGUGAUGGACGAAAGCUGGGGGAGCAAACCGGAUUAGACACCCGGGUAGUCCCAGCCGUAAACGAUGCGGGCUAGGUGUUGGGGCAGCUACGAGCUGCUCUAGUGCGCAGAGAGUCAUUAAGUCUGCCGCCUGGGAAGUACUGUCGCAAGACUGUAACUUAAAGGAAUUGGCCGGGGAGCACACAGGGGUGAGCCUGCGUCAUUGAAUCAACGC
rnacentral:rRNA from 1 species